rnacentral:rRNA from 1 species
UACGUAGGGGCCGAGCGUUGUCCGGAGUUAUUGGGCGUAAAGCGCGCGCAGGCGGCUUGACGCGCCCGACGUGAAAGCCCCCGGCUUAACCGGGGAGGGUCGUCGGGUACGGUCAGGCUUGAGGGCGGGAGAGGGUGGUGGAAUUCCCGGUGUAGUGGUGAAAUGCGUAGAGAUCGGGAGGAACACCUGUGGCGAAGGCGGCUACCUGGACAGAAACUGACGCUGAGGUGCGAAAGCGUGGGGAGCAAACAGG